UUUUAUUUAGUUUGACGCUAAUUUUAACCGUACAAUUUUUACUGUCAAAUAUUUCAACCUGAUGAUUUGUUCUUCAAUCAACAACUCUUGACGUCGUGCCAGAUGAAGAUCGCAUAGUUCGAUCGAAACACGUGUAGCACCGAAAAUAAAAAUUAAAUAUUUUUUCAUCGUC
rnacentral:lncRNA from 1 species